UCUAGACCGUGCAGAAACCAGUUAUUGGUAAGCAGAAGACGAUCUCCUCAAGGAGAAGUUCGCCAACAGAAAAAGUUCUCGAAGAUAGGGGGUCUUGGUAAAUAAAAAACAUAUUGCAGAGGGAGAAGAGAUGGAAGACUAAAUCGGUUAGGUACCUAAUCAUGUUAUCUCUACGUUUGAUGUUAAAGGGAAGCAGAUGGGCAUGCUUAGUAUGAAAGAGAAGAAUUCGUUUUUAACACAUAAGGUAAUCACCUAUCAUAAAAUAUCUU